rnacentral:rRNA from 1 species
UACGUAGGGGGCAAGCGUUGUCCGGAUUUAUUGGGCGUAAAGAGCGUGUAGGCGGCUUGGUAGGUCCGCUGUGAAAACUCGAGGCUCAACCUCGAGACGUCGAUGGAAACCAUCUAGCUAGAGUCCGGAAGAGGAGAGUGGAAUUCCUGGUGUAACGGUGAAAUGCGCAGAUAUCAGGAAGAACACCCGUGGCGAAGGCGGCUCUCUGGUACGUGACUGACGCUGAGACGCGAAAGCGUGGGGAGCGAACAGG